UAACAAGUUGACUGCAUAAUGUGGCAUCAAAGUCUGCAAGGAGAAACCAUGCAAUUGAGGAAGCCAAGAAACCAUGUGAUAAUUUCAAGCAGCUUACCUACUCUUGAAACCCGGAUAGCAAAGCAUUGAGAUUGUUCUGGAAGCAUUUGUAGUCACAGCUCAUUAAGCAUCCCCCUGAAGCAGGACCCUCAGUCUACGGACGCCAAUUGACGAAAUAAAACUUGUCAUUCAGCAACUCAGCCAGUUGCAGCAGUUGUUACCGUAUGACCCCAGUCAAAACUAGGAGCUCAGAGAUAACACAGCCAGUUGCAGCAGUUGUUACCGUAUGGACCCCAGUCAAAACUACGAGCUCAGAGAUAAAUACUGUUUAAGAUAGAUAUUCUCUACAUUCCUCAUGGUCAGGCAACACAGCCAGUUGCAGCAGUUGUUACCGUAUUGAAACUAGUCAAAACUAAGAGCUCAGAGACAAUCAGCAACACAGCCAGUUGCAGCAGUUGUUAACAAAUUGACCCCAGUCAAAACUAGGAGCUCAGAGACAAUCAGCAACACAGCCAUUUGCAGCAGUUGUUACCAUAUUGACCCCAGUCAAAACUAGGAGCUCAGAGAUAAAUACUGUUUAAGAUAGAUAUUCUCUACAUUCCUCAUGGUCAGGCAACACAGCCAGUUGCAGCAGUUGUUACCGUAUUGACCCCAGUCAAAACUAGGAGCACAGAGACAAUCAGCAACACAGCCAGUUGCAGCAGUUGUUACCAUAUUGACCCCAGUCAAAACUAAGAGCUCAGAGACAAUCAGCAACACAGCCAGUUGCAGCAGUUGUUACCAAAUUGACCCCAGUCAAAACUAGGAGCUCAGAGACAAUCAGCAACACAGCCAGUUGCAGCAGUUGUUACCAUAUUGACCCCAGUCAAAACUAGGAGCUCAGAAACAAUCAGCAACACAGCCAGUUGCAGCAGUUGUUACCAAAUUUACCCCAGUCAAAACUAGGAGCUCAGAGACAAUCAGCAACACAGCCAGUUGCAGCAGUUGUUACCAUAUUGACCCCAGUCAAAACUAGGAGCUCAGAGAUAAAUACUGUUUAAGAUAGAUAUUCUCUACAUUCCUCAUGGUCAGGCAACACAGCCAGUUGCAGCAGUUGUUACCGUAUUGACCCCAGUCAAAACUAGGAGCACAGAGACAAUCAGCAACACAGCCAGUUGCAGCAGUUGUUACCAAAUUGACCCCAGUCAAAACUAAGAGCUCAGAAACAAUCAGCAACACAGCCAGUUGCAGCAGUUGUUACCAUAUUGACCCCAGUCAAAACUAGGAGCUCAGAGAUAGAUCAACACAGCCAGUUGAAGCAGUUGUUACCAUAUUGACCCUAGUCAAAACUAGGAGCAGCAGUUGUUACCAUAUUGACCCCAGUCAAAACUAGGAGCAGCAGUUGUUACCAUAUUGACCCCAGUCAAAACUAAGAGCUCAGAGAUAAAUGCUGUUUAAGAUAGAUAAACACAGCCAGUUGCAGCAGUUGUUACCAUAUUGACCCCCGUCAAAACUAGGAGCUCAGAGACAAUCAGCAACACAGCCAGUUGCAGCAGUUGUUACCAUAUUGACCCCAGUCAAAACUAGGAGCUCAGAGACAAUCAGCAACACAGCGAGUUGCAGCAGUUGUUACCGUAUGACCCCAGUCAAAAAUAAGAGCUCAGAGACAAUCAGCAACACAGCCAGUUGCAGCAGUUGUUACCGUAUGACCCCAGUCAAAACUAGGAGCUCAGAGACAAUCAGCAACACAGCCAGUUGCAGCAGUUGUUACCGUAUGACCCCAGUCAAAACUAGGAGCUCAGAGACAGUUGUUACCGUAUGACCCCAGUCAAAACUAAGAGCUCAGACACAAUCAGCAACACAGCAAGUUGAAGCAGUUGUUACCAUAUUGACCCCAGUCAAAACUAAGAGCUCAGAGAUAACACAGCCAGUUGCAGCAGUUGUUACCGUAUGACCCCAGUCAAAACUAAGAUCUCAGAGACAAUCAGCAACACAGCCAGUUGCAGCAGUUGUUACCAUAUUGACCCCAGUCAAAACUAGGAGCUCAGAGACAAUCAGCAACACAGCCAGUUGCAGCAGUUGUUACCAAAUUGACCCCAGUUACAACUAGGAGCUCAGAGACAAUCAGCAACACAGCCAGUUGCAGCAGUUGUUACCGUAUGACCCCAGUCAAAACUAGGAGCUCAGAGAUAAAUACUGUUUAAGAUAGAUAUUCUCUACAUUCCUCAUGGUAUGUUAAGCACAAACUCUGACAGAUCUCAUCUUUGAACUUUGUAACGGGCGAAAAAAUGACCUUGUUCAGAAUGAAAUGGCAGAAUGACAAAGCACAACAAUUUAAGGGGAAACCAUAAAUUAAUGUGACCAGCAAAGAUGUGUUCAAAGCAAAACAAUAUGUCAUGUCUUUGGGGACUUUGAAUUUUGAUGGUGUCAUUCAUUAAACAUUGAAUAUUUUUGUUAAAUAUAGUUAAAUAUAAUGAUAUAAAGGAUAUUUGAUUAAGGCGUGAAUGUUAAUUAUUACUUUAAGCACAAAUAUAGCACGUCUAUCAAUUACUUAUGAAACUUGCACCUGAUAAUGAUAAAUGCAUGAAAAUUAAAUUGUACUUAAGACAUUAUUUCAUACGUUGAGCUUAAGAAAAUUGAAAGCUGUUUAAAUUAUGCUGGUAACAUUAUAUACAAAAUAUGUAUUGGAUUAUAUUCAUGUAAAAAACAAGUUUCAGUUUUCUGUUGUUACAUGCAAUAUAGAAGUAUUAUCAAGAAUCGUGUUAAGUAUGGCACUAUUCGAAAUGAAUAUUCAUUAAAUAAAGACAAAAUCAUUUAAUCUUCUUUCAAUUGUCAAUUCUGUAUGUACUACUACUACCUUAUUUAUUUGACUUGAUAUGGUUUGUUAAAUUAUAAGAUAAUGCCUCUUUAUUUGGAAAGCUUUCAAUGUUUUGAAACUGAGUAUUUAAAAAUGAAUUAUUAAAAGAAUUAUGAAAAAUCAUGACUGAUGUCAAAGUUAUGUUUGAUUUUGCCAAUUUUGUGUUGAUAUUUAAUAUACAUGUACUUACAUGCUCAUAAGUGUUGACAUUUGUUUUUGAACAUAAUAGUUUUUUAUGUUUUAUAUCGUGUAUAUACACAUUUACAAGUCCAAAUUUUCAUCCUCUCAAUCACUCAGUAACUUUACCAACAAUAAAUGUUGGAUCUCUGUAUAUAGGUAAAUUGUGCAAUUGAUAUAUAGAGCAACUGCAACAAAUCAGUCAGUUACAAAUCAAGGCAGAGUGAUGUAAUAUGCUGGCAAUUGUUAAGUAGUGCAGUUGUCUCUUUUUGUUCUCAGGUUAGAGCAAUGUUGUUUGCUUCAAAAAUAAAAACACAGUCUCCCUUGUAAGAAAAUUAAUGUGUUCACAUCUCAACAUAACAAGUAAAUUCAUAGAGAAAAUCAAAUUAUUUACAUGAUAUACUCGACAAUUAGUCUAAUGGAAUUUGUAGAAUAAAAAAUAACAUGUAAUUAUGACGAUUAUAAGUGAAUUUUUGACACAAAAUGUCUCUUCAGAAAUGUGUAUAUUUUAAUGAUAAAUCUAUACAUUGUACUUGCUGUACUUUUUAUAGUAUAUUUUAUGAACGUGCAGCUGAUAAGUGAAUGUGACAAUUUACGAGUUAUGUUACAAUUUGUUACACGUUGACAUGGCCACAUAAGCUGGUAAUGGAGUGCAUUCACUGCGGCCAGUUUCCAGAAAUCUCCCAAUUAAAAAACACCAGAAAAUAUCUUAAGAUCAGAUAGUUUGGUUGUUGACAUUAGUUUUGAUUUAUUUAUUGAUUGUGUUAUGCCUUGUACUCUUAAUUUGUUAUCAAAUAUUUAAGUUUAUAUGACUUGAAGAGACUUACAUGUUUAUUUUAUUGAUGUGUUUGUGCUGAUUUCUUGCAUUCUGAUUAAGAAUAUUCAAGUGGAAAAAGAAUAUUAUUAUGCAUUGAAAGUGUGUUGUGAUUUCAAAUAAAAAUACUAUGAAAAUAUAGUUCAGUCGUUUGAUUACAAAGUUAUUACAAAGGUGAUCAAUUGCUCAUCAAGUGUAGGUGUUUGCAUACGGACAUAAUAUGUCUGUGCUUUAUAUGUAUAUAAUGUAGAUCCCCAUUUACCAGAACAUAUUUUGAUGUGCUUAAAUGUGCUAAUAGCCUGAUGAAAUUCGUGUUGACUAUGCGUUUUACAUUUUGCCAUUUUUAUAUAAAAAAUGAAAAACAAAUGAAUUGUCAGUGUAAAUAAAUACUGUAUUGUUGUUCAAUCAGUUAAACUAUUUCACUGUUUUCAUGCAUAUGUUCAAAUCAUUUUCAUUUUUGUUCAAUCUUUAAGAUGCAACGCUUGUGUAAUUUACUUUAUGAAACUUAUAUAUACACAAAAAUGUAGUACAGAUGUAUAUCAAAUGACUGCUGUGGGCUUGUGGUAAACAGAAAACCAUGCUUUAAAUUGAAAAACCUUGUUAUAUGCCAUGUUUUUCAUUUAAUAAUAUUAAAAGCACUCUUGAAAUUGAACUUCUUGAAAAUAUGUUUCAUUGUUUUGUAAAAAUAUCUUAAGUUAUCUAUUCUAAAUUAUCUAUUCUUAUAUAAAAAAUACAAAUUAAAAUUGGUUAUUGGAAAUAAGUCAAUUAAAAGUCAAGGGAUAAUGAUGUAAUGUACUUAAAAAUGUCAAAACUGCUAUUGUCUCUAUUUGUAUUCUAGAUAUGUUAUAUCCUUAAACAAACAAAUACAAUGUUGUCUCCUUGUUGAAUAGGUGUUGUGUUCCUCUGAACAUGUCAAGUCAUUUACUUUAAGUAUUUUAAAUUAGUUCUCACUAUCUGCACCCGUAAGUCACUCAUGAAUUUUGUGUAAUAAACAUUGGAUAAAUAUAUUUUUAUAUAAUCAAUUAUAAGAUAAGGUAAAAAGUGUAUGUGCGUUAUAAGUAAUAAACAUUGGAUAAAUA